UGUUAGCGGCGGACGGGUGAGUAACACGUGGGUAACCUGCCUGUAAGACUGGGAUAACUCCGGGAAACCGGGGCUAAUACCGGAUGGUUGUUUGAACCGCAUGGUUCAAACAUAAAAGGUGGCUUCGGCUACCACUUACAGAUGGACCCGCGGCGCAUUAGCUAGUUGGUGAGGUAACGGCUCACCAAGGCAACGAUGCGUAGCCGACCUGAGAGGGUGAUCGGCCACACUGGGACUGAGACACGGCCCAGACUCCUACGGGAGGCAGCAGUAGGGAAUCUUCCGCAAUGGACGAAAGUCUGACGGAGCAACGCCGCGUGAGUGAUGAAGGUUUUCGGAUCGUAAAGCUCUGUUGUUAGGGAAGAACAAGUACCGUUCGAAUAGGGCGGUACCUUGACGGUACCUAACCAGAAAGCCACGGCUAACUACGUGCCAGCAGCCGCGGUAAUACGUAGGUGGCAAGCGUUGUCCGGAAUUAUUGGGCGUAAAGGGCUCGCAGGCGGUUUCUUAAGUCUGAUGUGAAAGCCCCCGGCUCAACCGGGGAGGGUCAUUGGAAACUGGGGAACUUGAGUGCAGAAGAGGAGAGUGGAAUUCCACGUGUAGCGGUGAAAUGCGUAGAGAUGUGGAGGAACACCAGUGGCGAAGGCGACUCUCUGGUCUGUAACUGACGCUGAGGAGCGAAAGCGUGGGGAGCGAACAGGAUUAGAUACCCUGGUAGUCCACGCCGUAAACGAUGAGUGCUAAGUGUUAGGGGGGUUUCCGCCCCUUAGUGCUGCAGCUAACGCAUUAAGCACUCCGCCUGGGGGAGUACGGUCGCAAGACUGAAACUCAAAGGAA
rnacentral:rRNA from 1 species